rnacentral:rRNA from 1 species
GACGAACGCUGGCGGCGUGCUUAACACAUGCAAGUCGAACGGAAAGGCCCUGCUUUUGUGGGGUGCUCGAGUGGCGAACGGGUGAGUAACACGUGAGUAACCUGCCCUUGACUUUGGGAUAACUUCAGGAAACUGGGGCUAAUACCGGAUAGGAGCUCCUGCUGCAUGGUGGGGGUUGGAAAGUUUCGGCGGUUGGGGAUGGACUCGCGGCUUAUCAGCUUGUUGGUGGGGUAGUGGCUUACCAAGGCUUUGACGGGUAGCCGGCCUGAGAGGGUGACCGGCCACAUUGGGACUGAGAUACGGCCCCGACUCCUACGGGAGGCAGCAGUGGGGAAUAUUGCCCAAUGGGCGGGAGCCUGAUGCAGCAACGCCGCGUGCGGGAUGACGGCCUUCGGGUUGUAAACCGCUUUCGCCUGUGACGAAGCGUGAGUGACGGUAAUGGGUAAAGAAGCACCGGCUAACUACGUG